rnacentral:rRNA from 1 species
CAGUAGCCGCGGUAAUACGAAGGGUGCAAGCGUUACUCGGAAUUACUGGGCGUAAAGCGUGCGUAGGUGGUGGUUUAAGUCCGUUGUGAAAGCCCUGGGCUCAACCUGGGAAUUGCAGUGGAUACUGGGUCACUAGAGUGUGGUAGAGGAUAGUGGAAUUUCCGGUGUAGCAGUGAAAUGCGCAGAGAUCGGAAGGAACAUCUGUGGCGAAGGCGACUAUCUGGGCCAACACUGACACUGAGGCACGAAAGCGUGGGGAGCAAACAGGAUUAGAUACCCCAGUAGUCCCUGUCUCUUAUAC